CGGAGAGCUGCCACGGACCCCUCCCCCAGGCCUUUGUGAGUGGAUUUAACUUUAAAAACAUCUCCCGUUAGCCUCUGAGGCUGGAAUCUGAUAGAAACUUCAGCCCAGGGCUGCAGGAAACCUGAGUGCCUGGUCUUGCUGCUUCUUUGAGAAAAAGCCACUUGCCUGCCCAGUAUGGUGGUGGUGAAGCUAAGGCCGUCGCUCGUUUUGAAAAGGCCCCUGCCUCACUGGUUUUCAGAGUUGGUCUACAAAUCCCCCAGAUGGAAAAUUUACAGCCCAGAGAAGCCAGUGUUCAAAUGCACACUGAGAAUCUAGCAAAAGCGCCCACAGACGUCCUCCUCCUCCUCCUUGGCAUCAUCAUCAUUGCAAUCCUCUAUAAAUUGCAGCACCCAUCACCAGCCCCUGGUGGCUACUCACUCACCUGCUGGUAAAUAACAGGACACGUGUGAUGACUGGUUUAUGUGCUAUUUCUGGGGCUUAUGAGCG
rnacentral:lncRNA from 1 species